rnacentral:rRNA from 1 species
AUUGAACGCUGGCGGCAGGCUUAACACAUGCAAGUCGAGCGGAGUGAUGGUGCUUGCACUAUCACUUAGCGGCGGACGGGUGAGUAAUGCUUAGGAAUCUGCCUGGUAGUGGGGGACAACGUGUCGAAAGGAACGCUAAUACCGCAUACGUCCUACGGGAGAAAGCAGGGGACCUGCGGGCCUUGCGCUAUCAGAUGAGCCUAGGUCGGAUUAGCUAGUUGGUGGGGUAAUGGCUCACCAAGGCGACGAUCCGUAACUGGUCUGAGAGGAUGAUCAGUCACACUGGAACUGAGACACGGUCCAGACUCCUACGGGAGGCAGCAGUGGGGAAUAUUAGACAAUGGGCGAAAGCCUGAUCCAGCUAUGCCGCGUGUGUGAAGAAGGUCUUCGGAUUGUAAAGCACUUUAAGUUGGGAGGAAGGGCAGUAAGCUAAUAUCUUGCUGUUUUGACGUUACCGACAGAAUAAGCACCGGCUAACUCUGUGCCAGCCGCCGCAGUAA